AAGCUGUGAUGAUUAUUGCGCUCAAUGCAUUGAUAUUGGGUCUCUGCACUUGUCCGGAUUAUACGACGAUGAGUUGCGCAUCUGAGCUU